GGUUCGAAUGAUUUUUGAAAUUGUUGAUUUAUCACAAGCAUCACCCGCUACAGUUAGCAGAUGUGGAAUUGUUUAUAUGGACACAUUGGACCUAGGAUGGUUACCAUACGUAAACUCGUGGGCAAAUAGAUUACAAAAUGAUGUUAUAAAAAGUAGUGCAGAAUUAAAAAACUAUUUAGUAUUACUAUUUGAAACUUAUGUCAAUGAAGGUUUUUCAUUUAUUGACAAAUAUUGUUCGGCUCCCAUUGAACAGGUUGACAUUAGUAAAGCUACUACGAUGUGCACCAUUAUCGAAUCUCUAUUAACUGACCUAGGUAGUUUUGAUGCGUCAACAGAAAUUUCAAAAGCCCAAAAAUAUAUUCAUCAGUCAUUUAUAUUUUCAUAUUUAUGGUCUCUGGGAUCGAAUUUAGCCGAUUCUUCUCAAAUAAAAUUCGAAAAUUUCGUUUUCAAUCAAUUCGCAGACAAAUCUGAAUAUGGUAUUCUACCUGGAAUGAAACUAUUCAACGUAUAUCUAAACACGGAAAAUAAAAAGUUUGAAAAUUGGAAUACCAUCGUCCCAGAUUUUGUGUACGAGUCCGGUACACCUUAUCACGAAUUACUAGUUCCUACAGUAGAUAGCAUUCGGCAUACAUACGUUGUACAAACGAUACUACAAAUGAAUCAACCAGUGAUGUUGACUGGAACAACAGGUGUGUAAAAAUAAUUAAACAUGAGUAAAACCAUCUUUAAUACCAUAAUCUUACAAUAAUCAUAGGUGUAGGUAAGAAUUCGGUAGCAAAUUUCGUCAUGCAAUACUUGACGUCUAAGGGAGACUGGAUAACUGGAACAAUACAUUUUUCUGCGUACACAAAUAGUAACAGAACCCAAGAAUUAUUGGAAUCAAAAUUAGUGAAAAAAAAACGAAAUCGUUUCGGUGCACCGGUAAACAAACGUUUGGCGCUUUUCAUCGAUGACGUCAACAUGCCGAUACCAGAAAUUUACGGUGCUCAACCUCCCAUUGAAUUACUAAGACAGCUUUUGGAUUCUGGUGGCAUAUAUGAUAGAGAUAAGCUCGAUUGGAAAGACAUAGAGAAUGUAAUUUUGUGCACCAUCUGCGCACCUCCAGGAGGAGGACGAAAUCUAUUAACUCCAAGAUUUACAAGACACUUAUCAGUGAUUUUCAUGCCCAUUAUGAGUGAAAAUUCCCUGAGAACUAUAUUCACCUCUAUUUUGGACGGGUUUUUUGAAGAGUUCCCUCCAAAUAUAGCUGAUUCUAGUUCAGAAAUAGUGCAAGCCAGUGUUGAAAUUUAUUUGCGAAUUUCAGAAGACCUGUUACCGAGUCCGGCCAAGCCACACUAUGUUUUUAAUCUUAGAGAUUUGUCGAAAACCAUACAAGGAGUCUUGCAAGCUAAUUUUAUCACAAUACCAGAUAAAACACAUUUAUACAGGCUAUGGUAUCAUGAAACAUUACGUGUGUAUCACGACCGUUUGGUUUGCCAAAAAGACAGAUCAUAUUUCUUUAAUCUUCUUCAGGACGUAUGUAUGCGUUAUUUCAACACUACUGUGUUGGACUUUUUCAAAUCUACAGACAAAAAUUCAUCACGUCCUCCAGUGUUAUUGUUUGGUGAUUUCGUGAAUCCAGUUUCAAAAGACAGACGGAUUUACGAAGAAAUAAUUGAUAUCGAUAAAUUAAAAGCCACAUUGGUCGAAAAUUUAACAGAUUUCAAUAAAGUUUAUAAUAAAAACAUGCACAUCAUAUUUUUCAUGGACGCCAUCGAGCAUAUCACACGCAUUGCGAGGAUAUUGAGAUCCGAAAGAGGAAACGCUUUACUCGUCGGAGUUAAUGGAAUGGGCAAACAAUCGUUGACAAAAUUGUCUUCCCACCUUAACAAUUUUAAAUGUUUUCAAAUCGAGUUAACAAAAUCAUAUAAUCAUACUACUUUUCGUGAAGACCUAGUGAGUCUUUAUCUCAACACCGGUGUGAAAUUUGAAGACACCACAUUUUUAUUCUCGGAUAAUCAGAUAGUGCAAGAAGAAUUUUUAGAAGAUAUAAACAAUAUUUUAAGCUCAGGGGAAGUACCAGAUUUAUUUAAACAUGAUGACUUGGAGAAGGCGAUAGCCGCUUGCCGGCCAGCAGCAUUGAGUUUGGGAGUCGACAGCCAGAACCAAGAAGCAAUGUUCAGGUUUUUCAUUCAGCGCGUACGCUCUAAACUCCAUCUUGUCGUAUCCAUGAGCUCGAUUGGCAAUGCGUUUAGACGAAGAUGCCGGCUGUUUCCUUCGUUAGUUUAUAACUCGACAAUAGAUUGGUUUGACGACUGGCCGACCGAAGCUCUUUUGUCUGUAGCUCACCAAAGUCUAGACGAGGCUUUUGGACGAUCAGAAAACCAAGACCUCGUAGACAGUCUAACGAAUAUGUGUCACAACAUGCACUUGACUAUCAGUCGAGCCACUGAAAAGUUUUGCAGACAAACGGCUAGGGGUUGCUACGUAACUCUCAGGAGUUAUUUGGAAUUUCUGAAGUUAUAUGUGACAAUGCGGGGAUCACAAACUGACAAGAUUAAAAACGAUUCUGAUCGAAUUUCGAAUGGCUUGCGCAAAUUAUACGAGACAUUUGACAUGGUGGGAGAUAUGAAAACAAAAUUAAAAUCAAUGGCACCGGCACUGUUAGAGAAAAAUGAAGCAACUUCAAAAUUAAUGGAAGGGUUGACGAGAGAAAAGGCAAGCGUAGAUAAGGUACGACAAAUAGUGCUUGUGGAAGAGAUAGCAGCGAAAAUGAAAGCUUCGGCCGCGCAGGAAAUAUCUGAAGACGCGCAAAGAGACCUUACUCUGGCUAUGCCGGCCAUGGAAGCGGCCCAAAGCCGCAUUAGAGUCACUCAACAAAAACGAUGUAAACGAGCUUCGGAUGUUGAGUAAACCACAUAAACUUGUUCAGACCGUUAUGGAAGCGGUGUGUUUAUUAUUGGCAAAAAAAACUGAUUGGACUUCCGCUAAAACCGUACUAGGAGAUCCCAAUUUUCUAAAAGCUCUACAAGAAUACGAUACGGACAAUAUAUCUGAUAAAAUGAUCAAUCAACUUAAGCCUUAUAUAGAAGAUCCAGAUUUCAAUCCACAGAAAGUAGCUACUCAAUCAAAAGUGGCCAAAUCGAUGUGCAUGUGGGUUCGAGCAGUUCACAGUUACUAUUUAGUAUAUCGAAUAGUAGAACCCAAAAGAAAGAAGUAAACAAUUUAAUUUUAAUUUAAUUUACCUAACACCCAAAAUAUAGUUAUCAUAAUGAUAAUCCGAACUAUCGUAUAAUAAUCACAAUAA
rnacentral:misc_RNA from 1 species